GUGCUCACUUCAGCAGCACAUGUACUAAAAUUGGAACAAUAUAGAGAAUAUUAGCAUGGCCCUUGUGCAAGGAUGACACACAAAUUUAUGAAGUGUUACAUAUUUUU
rnacentral:snRNA from 1 species